rnacentral:rRNA from 1 species
UACGAAGGGGGCUAGCGUUGCUCGGAAUCACUGGGCGUAAAGGGUGCGUAGGCGGGUCUUUAAGUCAGGGGUGAAGUCCUGGAGCUCAACUCCAGAACUGCCUUUGAUACUGAGGAUCUUGAGUACGGGAGAGGUGAGUGGAACUGCGAGUGUAGAGGUGAAAUUCGUAGAUAUUCGCAAGAACACCAGUGGCGAAGGCGGCUCACUGGCCCGUAACUGACGCUGAGGCACGAAAGCGUGGGGAGCAAACAGG